GGGGCUUUAGCUCAGCCGGGAGAGCGCUUCCAUGGCAUGGAAGAGGUCAACGGUUCGAUCCCGUUAAGCUCCACCA
rnacentral:tRNA from 1 species